rnacentral:rRNA from 1 species
UACGGAGGGUGCAAGCGUUAUCCGGAUUCACUGGGUUUAAAGGGUGCGUAGGUGGGUCUGUAAGUCCGUGGUGAAAUCUCCGAGCUUAACUUGGAAACUGCCAUGGAUACUAUAGAUCUUGAAUACUGUGGAGGUUAGCGGAAUAUGUCAUGUAGCGGUGAAAUGCUUAGAUAUGACAUAGAACACCAAUUGCGAAGGCAGCUGGCUACACAAAGAUUGACACUGAUGCACGAAAGCGUGGGGAUCAAACAGG